rnacentral:rRNA from 1 species
CGGAGGAUCCAAGCGUUAUCCGGAAUCAUUGGGUUUAAAGGGUCCGUAGGCGGUUUAGUAAGUCAGUGGUGAAAGCCCAUCGCUCAACGGCGGAACGGCCAUUGAUACUGCUAGACUUGAAUUAUUAGGAAGUAACUAGAAUAUGUAGUGUAGCGGUGAAAUGCCUAGAGAUUACAUGGAAUACCAAUUGCGAAGGCAGGUUACUACUAAUGGAUUGACGCUGAUGGACGAAAGCGUGGGUAGCGAACAGGAUUAGAUACCCUGGUAGUCCACGCCGUAAACGAUGGAUACUAGCUGUUGGGGGCAACUUCAGUGGCUAAGCGAAAGUGAUAAGUAUCCCACCUGGGGAGUACGUUCGCAAGAAUG